rnacentral:lncRNA from 1 species
UGCGCCACUAUAAUCAUAGCGCCACCUGCUGACAACAGAAAAUGGCUUAUUUUACACUAACUUAAACAAUGCAAUGUCCAAUCUGCACCAAACUUCAAAUAUUUGAUAAGAGUCAUGGCCUGAAGAUAUCUAAAGGCCAAUGUUCAGUUAUAAUCAUAGCGCCACCUGUUGGCAAUAGGACACAACAUACUUUAUACUAACUCAAACAUUCCAUGUUCAAUCUGCCCUAAAUUUCAUAUGCUUGAUAAAAAGUGCUGGACUGAAGAAAUCUACAUGACAAAAUCCAGUUAUAGUCAUAGCGCCACCAGCUGGCAGCAGGAAGAUUGGCACAUAUAAAUGACUUUGGCAUAUUCCUCUUAUAUUUACCACAUUAAACGCAUAUUUCUCGCCGUUCGCUGUUUUACAAAAGCCACCCGGUGGUGGUGAGCCCGGGUGCGAGGGCCCGUUCAUCGCUGCUUGCAGCUUUAAUUAUAUAUAUUAUUUUUAUAAAAUGGUAUGUAUAUAUAUAAUUUUAAAAUAAAUUAUUCAAUAAAAAACUAUUACAAAUAUUAAUACUAUUUUAAAAAUCUAUAUACUAUAUACAAGUUGAAUUUCUUGUCACUCACAUUCAGUGUUUUGAUAUCAGAAUUCUGUUUCUUUCAGGGUCAAAGCUGAUGUUGGAUUUAACUGACAGAGACACGUAUGUAGCUGUGGUUUGAUGUAUUUAUUUGCGUGUCAGUCGUGUAAGCUGGCAUUUCAUUUGUCUUCAUUUCCUUUUUUCCAGAGGCGACACCGCACUGCACAAAGCAGCAUCUCGGCAGCAUGUGGAGGUGUGCAAACGUUUGCUGGAGGCCGGAGCUUCCCUCAGCAAAACGAACUUCCUAGGAAAAACUCCCAAGGAUUGUGCCCUGGACGCUGGGAACUCAGAGUUGGCGUCCCUCAUGGAGAGGCAGCCGGUGGAGGAGCCGGCGGCGCACGAGGAUCUAGAGACGGUUGUAUGAACGGGCUCAUGAGUCAGAGUCAGGAAGAUUUUUCCCCACAGAAAGUGGCUGUCGACACUCCUCCGAGCAUCUGCUCGCACUCGCAGAGACAGAACGGGAGAGAGUGAGAGAAGAAAGACAAAGAGGGAGGUGAAUCGAGAGCGCCUCGGGCUAAGAGAGUCCUCGGGAUCAUGUCUAGCUGUUGUUUUUCCACUAAUGUCACUGUGGGGUUUCAGCAUUUAUUUAUUGCUCUUAUUUAUUAUAACUAUUUAUUCAAAGAUGGAUUGGGUUUUGUUGCGUCACAGGUUAGUUUAAGAGACAAAAGAUGUUUAAACAUGCCAGAGAUUGAAGCUUUCAUGCAUCAUGUUGUGUGCCAAAGUCACACAGAGAGGAAGAACAUCAUCUGAAGGAAGAUACUGAGUUUGAUUAAAGGAGGAUCUUCUUCAGAGACACAAUCAUUGCAGAGAUUUUAAACUCAAACUACAGAUGUUUCACGUUUUGUUUGUGUGCCGUUACAGUGGAGUGAUUGUGAAAUUACCUUACAACAACGAGAGAAGAUCUGAGCCAUAUUCAAUGCAAUAUGAAUGGAUGACAUUUGUGCAUUUAUCUAUUUAAUAUUACAUUACAUUAAUGUUUCAAGACGAGCAAAGGAACCGGAUGUGUUUUUCCACUGAUGGCAGCUGAUUGGUUUCUGAAAUGCCAAGUUUAGCUGAGAAUGACUAAACCAAAUGAACGCUGCUGAGAGUUAAACGUGGUAUUUUGAACAUAUGCUUAGUCCAUGUCAAAUCACUCAUGACGGAAAUGCCCAGCGACGUGUCUGCAUGAAAAGCGGAUCACGCUGAGCCUUUGUGAGAUCCAUUUACAUACGAGUGAUCUGCUGUGUUAUCUUCUAAUAUUUUAAAGCAUUAUUGUGCAUGGAAAUUUUCGUUACCUCUCUGGAUGUUUCUACCCCUCAGUGAUUAUGUAACGAAAUGGCAUUAUUUCUUUUUGUAAUUUUAAGUUAUACUGUAUGAAAAACAUGAAAUUGUUCAGUGGUUGUAUUUUUCUUUUUUUCUUUUUUAAUCUUUUAAAAGAUGGGGACGACUUGAAUGUUUUAGUUUUUUUUCAAAUUCCUAAAUAUCUAUUUUAGGUGUGUAUGAGGUCAGUGGGUGAGCAGAUGUGAAGGUUAUGUGGAGAUGUGACAGAUAUGAUGGUGCACGAUCGCAAAACUGGGAAUGUUUCUCAUUAAAGGCAUUCAGAUGGAAAGCACCAGUGUUGUGUGUUUACUGGACAGUCAUAAACUACUCGGAAGUUACAGCUAGAGAAGUUGAAAUACUUUAAAUAGCAUGCAGUGUUUCCACUCUUGACUUACAGUAUGGACAUUUUCUUUAUAGGUUUUGUAGGUAGACCAUGACCUGUACUACUAACAGUACCAAACAGAAACAGCUCAUAUAAAUCAGGACAGUGUGCUAUCGCAGCUGUUUUAUCUAUUUAUUUCAGUCGAAAGUCAAUGACUCAAUUGUGGUGAAUGGAGUUUUUGUUGAAUCAGUAACAACUCGCUGCGGUGUCUGUGCAAAUGACGCGUCAGAUUGGCUCCGCCCACAGCGCAUACAUACACGUCCUGGAACUUCUGUCUGUCUGGUCACACCAGACACAACACGGAGUCAUGUAAGUGUUUCAACUUUCAUUAUAUUUAUUAACCAAGAGAAAAAUGUAAUACUGACCGUCUCAGACUGUCGUGUUGUUUUCUUAAAGACGAUCGAGUAAAUGUGUUUGACACUUCCGUGACUUCGGAUAGGCGUGUUUCUACGAGAACUUUGAUAACAUCCAAGUCGUGCGUGUGAUUUGUGUCUGAAUUUAUGGAGAUGUCGGAGACUGAAGAAAAAUGAAACGAAUGAGGGCUGGUGAACAUGCCCAGACACAUUCACUCACUUAUUAAAUAGUGACAUCGAGCACAUUCUAUAGAAUUAACUAAUGUGUGUACUUUCGUGAAUUACAGAUUAAAUCAGUCAUGUAAAAUUAAGUAAAACGUAUGGUAAAUUAAAAAUAAGCAAUGAUAAUUAUACGCUUUAGAUCGCGACUUCCACUGCAGGAGCAUUAAUGCUUGUUUUAUUUGGCAAAUUAAAGAAAUACUGCUUUAAACAACAAUUAAUAUACAGUUGAAGUUGCACAAACCAAGCGUUCUGAUGAAGUGUUUGCAUAUCUGAGCAGGGAUCAGAAGCACAGUGACGGUGACGUCCAGACGCCUGCUGCGGACAGUCUGGAGUUCAAACUCCUGAUGGCAUACGCCCGCAAGAGACGACCCACCGACACCCGUCUGCCGCAGGACGUCCCGUCUUCACCACAGCUGCCUGAAGAACACGGCAUAGCAAAGAAAAAUAAAAGAAAGAAGAGACUGUUGUCUCUCUUGAAGUGUAUUAAACCACAGACAGAUGAUGUACGUGCACGAAAGCCAGCAACAUUUGACGGUAAGUGUGAAAUAUUAAACUUAAUGUGUGGCUGCUUAAAGUGUUUUUAAAAACAUUCCCUAUUGAGGAAGUGAGAUUGUAGAGAUUCCAUGUCUGAUUUGCUUCCGUCAGUCUCAGGCAAUAGGAAAGUGGAGAAGAUGGAGAACUUGGUCGGUGAACUGACAGAGAUAUCAGCUUCUGUGCACUUCACUCCCUGUGAAAUAGAAGCAGACGGUCCAGAAGACGAGGAGUCUGGUAAGAGCUCAUUCUUCCCAUUUGAUUUCACGCUCAUAUUUAGAGUUAUUAGCUGUCUGAGUUCCUAGAUUCAGAUGUGUUUAGUUCUGUCUGAACUGCUCAUUUCUGUCCUCUCGGCAGAUUUUGCGAGAAAGCUGGCUGAGCUCCUUAGAGAACAAGGUGAUGAACUGAAUGAAAAGGUCAGUGAAUUGAGCUCUCAUGAUGACCACCAGGUGUCUCUGCAGACAGUUUCUAGUUGAGUCCAAAAGUCUGAGACUCAUUAAGAGAAAUUCAAAUUCACUUUUGAACAUUUAGUAUAGUGUAGUCACAAACAGUAAAAACAUAUGACUUACAAACAUCUCUUCUCUUAUCUCUGAACCUCUGCGGCAGAUUAAGGCAGACAAGGUCUUACUUGAAAUACUGCGGUCCUCGCUCUCAUACAGCUUCUUCAUGAAAGUGAUGGAAGCUUUCUGUGGAAGUGUCUCUCCAGACAUGCCUUCAGAGCAGAAAGACAAGAAAGUCAAUGUGGCUCUGGUCUGUGAAGCCACCAGUCAGCUUGUUGGCAUCCAUUAUCAUCCAGUGACCUACGCUCCACGUGGAUAAACAAAAACAAUGGAUGUAGGCAAUGUAAGUGUCACAAUGACAACACACUUAUCCACAACAAUGACAUCAGCCGUAAUAACACGUAGAAACAUUUGUUUCCCUUCACAGGGAGAAGCUGAUGACGAAUCCAAAGAUGAAGUCCAGUGAGCAGAUGAGAUGCUCUCUCACAUUAUAACAUCUUUCUCAGGGGCACAGGCACUUUAUAAACCUGAAAAGUGGUUUUGUUUGGUGAACCAACAAGGAUAUCUUGUUUUUGUUCCCCAUUACAUCCUCAUAGCAUCCAAGAGAAAAAAAGAGGUAGUUCAUAGUGCCAAAUCUAACUGUAUGUUUACCAUACCUCACAAAAAAUGCACGGAUACUGCAUUAUAUAUGUUUGUAUGUUUAACACCACUUGUAAACUGUUUUUGUAAUUUAAUGUAGCAUCCAAAUUGUUAUGAAUUAUUUGCCCUUUUGUUAAAUCUGUACUUUUGUUUUGAAAUUAACUUAUUUUCGUAUCCUUGAACGUUAAAGUGAUUAAGAGAAUAUAUAAUGUCUUAAUGAAAUUUAUAUAUAUAUUUUCAAUGUUAUAAUAUUAAAGAAACUGUGAAAAUUUGUAAUUUUGUCUUCUUUUUUACUAGUAGUAAGUAUGUGGACCUACUUUUCUGAUUAAAAGGUCAUCGAUUAAUCUUUUGAUUGAAGUCUACAAUAGUUUCAUCACUAAACCAAAGGCUUCUAGUCAGAGUUAUUAUCAUUUUUACUUAUAUUUUUAAAUAUAUAUAUAUAUAUAUAUAUAUAUAUAUAUCUACUUUUAACUUAUUUUCGUAUCCUUGAACGUUAAAGUGAUUAAGAGAAUAUAUAAUGUCUUAAUGAAAUUUAUAUAUAUAUUUUCAAUGUUAUAAUAUUAAAGAAACUGUGAAAAUUUGUAAUUUUGUCUUCUUUUUACUAGUAGUAAGUAUGUGGACCUACUUUUC